GACGUAGGAUGCGAGCGUUAUUCGGAUUUAUUGGGCGUAAAGCGUGCGUAGGCGGCUGUUUAAGUCUGGUGUUAAAGCUAGGGGCUCAACCCCUGUGGUGCACUGGAAACUGGGCAGCUUGAGUGCGGUAGGGGAAGGUGGAAUUCCGAGUGUAGCGGUGAAAUGCGUAGAUAUUCGGAAGAACACCGGUGGCGAAGGCGACCUUCUGGGCCGCAACUGACGCUGAGGCACGAAAGCCUGGGGAGCGAACGGG
rnacentral:rRNA from 1 species